rnacentral:lncRNA from 1 species
CACACUAUGACUUUGUGACAUCAAACCUAUUGCUUGGUGAUAUCACCCUGGGGAAGCCUGUCUGGCCCCAACAAUACUCCAGUCAGCACCAGUACUGUGCAUGCCCACUAGGGCUACUGCAGUGUUAGAGUUUCCCAGCAGUCACCCUGGCCUGGCCUUGUCUUCCUAAAGUCCUUGUACUUCCCAUCUUCCUGUCCAACCUCUUCUCCAAGUGUCCAUGUUUAUGUUUUUCCCCAUCCAUCUCGUGCUGGCUGAGGCUGUUGCCUGAUUUGAUAUAUUGGAUACCAUGCAGACAUCAAGCCUGCAGCUUUGUCAUGAGGCUAGCAGCCAAAUGCAUGACUGAAAGGAUUUCUGGUUCCAGCCACUGGAUUUAUCUGAGCUACUGAGGUGUAUGAAGAUGACAAUAAUCAAUCAUAUCUAAUUAGAUGGUGACACACUGUGCUUGCAGUAAUUAAACAAGACAUUAUGCCUUUACUUUCUAAUGAUUAAGACUACAGAGAUUGAGACCCAGCUGUUAAUCGCUUUUCUUGCACAGCUAAUGUCAAAAACAGAAAAUCCCAACAAUCUGCUCCUAAGGUAAUUUUUAACAGAACUUUUCUUGUGGACAGUAUCU